AUAGUCUCGUUGGUGACCAGCGGAGGGUCAUUACCGAGUUUACAACUCCCAAACCCAAUGUGAACCAUACCAAACUGUUGCCUCGGCGGGGUCACGCCCCGGGUGCGUCGCAGCCCCGGAACCAGGCGCCCGCCGGAGGGACCAACCAAACUCUUUCUGUAGUCCCCUCGCGGACGUUAUUUCUUACAGCUCUGAGCAAAAAUUCAAAAUGAAUCAAAACUUUCAACAACGGAUCUCUUGGUUCUGGCAUCGAUGAAGAACGCAGCGAAAUGCGAUAAGUAAUGUGAAUUGCAGAAUUCAGUGAAUCAUCGAAUCUUUGAACGCACAUUGCGCCCGCCAGUAUUCUGGCGGGCAUGCCUGUCCGAGCGUCAUUUCAACCCUCGAACCCCUCCGGGGGGUCGGCGUUGGGGAUCGGGAACCCCUAAGACGGGAUCCCGGCCCCGAAAUACAGUGGCGGUCUCGCCGCAGCCUCUCCUGCGCAGUAGUUUGCACAACUCGCACCGGGAGCGCGGCGCGUCCACGUCCGUAAAACACCCAACUUCUGAAAUGUUGACCUCGGAUCAGGUAGGAAUACCCGCUGAACUUAAGCAUACAA
rnacentral:rRNA from 1 species